rnacentral:rRNA from 1 species
GGAUGCGAUCAUACCAGCACUAAAGCACUGGA